GUCGAACGAAGUAGCAAUACUUAGUGGCAAACGGGAGAGUAUAAUGUGGGAAUCUGCCCAUUGGUUUGGAAUAACACGAGGAAACUUGUGCUAAUACCAGGUAAGCCUUUACGGGGAAAGCUUUAUGCGCCGAUGGAUGAGCCCGCACUUGAUUAGCUAGUUGGUAAGGUAAAAGCUUACCAAGGCUACGAUCAAUAGCUGAUCUGAGAGGAUGAUCAGCCACAUUGGGACUGAGACACGGCCCAAACUCCUACGGGAGGCAGCAGUAGGGAAUCUUGCACAAUGGGGGAAACCCUGAUGCAGCGAUGCCGCGUGAGUGAAGAAGGCCCUUGGGUUGUAAAGCUCUUUCGUCGGGGAAGAAUAUGACUGUACCCGAAUAAGAAGGUCCGGCUAACUUCGUGCCAGCAGCCGCGGUAAUACGAAGGGACCUAGCGUAGUUCGGAAUUACUGGGCUUAAAGAGCUCGUAGGUGGUUAGAGAAGUUGGUGGUGAAAUCCCAAGGCUUAACCUUGGAACUGCCACCAAAACUUUUUAACUAGAGUAUGAUAGAGGUAAGCGGAAUUUCUAGUGUAGAGGUGAAAUUCGUAGAUAUUAGAAAGAACACCAAUUGC
rnacentral:rRNA from 1 species